GGCGCCGUUUACAGCGCCGUCGCAGGCCGAGUGACGAAGGGCGCGCCGAGUGACGACAUUCUAAAUUUAAUUCUAAAUUACUUUAAAUUUGAAUUAAUUUAAAUUUAAUUCUAAAUUAUAUACCGGAAACGUGGGAGAUUACAAGGGGUCAAAAAUAAAUAAAUGGAUGUAUCCUGCCAUAUUGGAAGCAAAAAAACUUGUCUUGAUGAAUUGGAAGAGCUGCAAAAAGAUCCCAUUGAGCACAUGGAUUGACAAUGUGGCCAGACUAGUUACCUACGAACGAAUUGCAUAUCGACACAAAUUAAGAAUGGAUAAACAUGAAGAAAUCUGGAAGGAAUACUUAAGUGAUAAGGCGGACAGUGGUGGAAGUAGGGGGAGGAGAGGUGGGGAAAUAUUGUUAACAAGGUGUAGUUAUAGGUGUAUCAGUACUCAAAUCUGAAUUGUUAAAUUGUGUUAUUAGUGUUAUUGUGGUUUUGUUGUAUAUUUUGUUGUUGUUUGUAUUGAAAAAAUGAUUAAAUUAUUAUUAUUUUUUUAAAAAAAGAAAUUCUCUCUUUCUUUCAAGAAAAGGAAAACGUUUCCAUUUCGACCGCACUUCCGGCCCCUGUCAGAGCCGGUCUGGAACCUGG